GACGAACGCUGGCGGCAUGCCUAAUACAUGCAAGUCGAGCGGACUUGAUGAGAAGCUUGCUUCUCAGAUAGUUAGCGGCGGACGGGUGAGUAACACGUAGGCAACCUGCCCUCAAGCUUGGGACAGCUACCGGAAACGGUAGCUAAUACCGAAUACUUGUUUUCUUCGCCUGAAGGAAACUGGAAAGACGGAGUAAUCUGUCACUUGGGGAUGGGCCUGCGGCGCAUUAGCUAGUUGGUGGGGUAACGGCUCACCAAGGCGACGAUGCGUAGCCGCCCUGAGAGGGUGCUCGGCCACACUGGGACUGAGAAACGGCCCAGACUCCUACGGGAGGCAGCAGUAGGGAAUCUUCCGCAAUGGGCGAAAGCCUGACGGAGCAAUGCCGCGUGAGUGACGAAGGUUUUCGGAUCGUAAAGCUCUGUUGCCAGGGAAGAACGCUUGGGAGAGUAACUGCUCCCAAGGUGACGGUACCUGAGAAGAAAGCCCCGGCUAACUACGUGCCAGCCGCCGCGGUAA
rnacentral:rRNA from 1 species